AAGUGAUGUUUAUAGCUUCGGAGUGAUCAUGUUGGAGUUAAUAACUGGUAGAAAGCCUAUAGAACAUGGAAGAUAUAUUGUGACAAUGGUCAAGAUGGCAAUGGAUAAGACAAAACAUUUAUACAAUCUUCAGCAUCUGAUCCUUGAUCCAACCAUUGCUUUCAGCAGCACACUAAAAGGUUUAGAAAAGUUUGUCGAUCUAGCAAUUAGGUGCGUUGAAGAAUUAAGAGUCAACAGGCCUACAAUGACAGAGGUGGUCAAGGAGAUUGAGAACAUACUGCAACAGGCUUGUCUGCACAGUGAUGUUGAAUUGGUAUCUAAUUCAAACAGUCAAGAUGUAUCAAGUGGAAGCAGUUUCUACAGCCCAAUUAUAAAUAAGGACCAGGAGUAUAGUAGUGGAAGUUUUCCAUAUUCUGAGAUAGAGCUUAAAUGACAAGAUUGUUUUACAUUUGGUAAUAGUAGUAAUUUACUGCUGCAUGAGGCUUGUAUUAGGGUAGUGAUGAUUUCCAUGUGGUUCAGGGAAGCUUUUCUUUAUCAUUGGAAUGAUGAGAAAAGAUUCCCUUGCCGUUUGAAACAUUAUACAUGAACACCUCUUGAACAACAAAUAAUAAGCCUUUUCUUCUCUUAUCUUCUUGCUUGUUAUCUUAAUUCUAGUAAAAAUUGAAAGCAAUGCUUGAUUUCUUUUAAAUACAGUUGUUUAUGGUAGGAUAGAAAGCAACAUCAUUGUCCAUAUAUUGGCUGCGGUUUUGCUCCUUGAACUUAUUAUCAGAUAUAAAGAAGAACCAUGAAGAAG
rnacentral:misc_RNA from 1 species